AGACUCAUCACAUUCUGGAAUUGUUGCGGGUGUAAGAUGGUGGCAUCUUGUAGGACUUGAUGGAGCAGAGACAGCAAAGAGGGGAUGGCGGAAAGAGGUUACAUAGCUAUUUGGAAUGGACUCCCAGUCGGGCUUUCGCUUCGAACCCCUUGACGUCGGGGAAGAAAGAGGUGGUGUGACAGGUGCACUGUUCGAUAUUCUGAGAGGAGGGAGAUUAGCAGGUAUAGAGGAUAUAUUUUGAAGGAAUGGCAGAAGG
rnacentral:misc_RNA from 1 species